AGCAGAGCCCCGCCCUUCCCUACCGGGUGAGGCGAGGGCGUAGCCGAGCGCGGUGCGGGUAUCUCGCGCUCCGGCUUUGCUCCACGAAGAACGAAAGGACCGGCGAGGACGAGGGUAGAUGGGCCGCACUUCCUGUCCACCAGCUGAAGAUUCCCGUAUUUCCUCCAAGUGCAGAAUUUUCUCCGGAUCUGCGACUCCUUCCUCCAGGUUUAGCUCUGAUGCCCUCUCUGUAAGACUUCCCUGACCCUCUUCAGUCUGAGAUAGGAGUACCUGCUAUAUGAUUUCCCUCCUUCUGUGCUAGCCCCCAUAUCACCUUAUUGUAGUCAGCUCUUCACACACGUGCACUAAAUGUACUGAGAAAUCAGGGACCACGUCUCCCUAGUUCUGGGUCCCUAGCACCCAGCGCAGUGCCUAGAAUUGUAUGGUUUUGUUUAUGUGGGUUUGGUGUUAUUUCAAAAAUUAUUUUUAGAAGCAAAGUUGUUUUGAUAUAAGAAUGAAGUGUGUCAGGAUGUAACAGCUUCAUCUGUUCUCACAGGCAGCCCUUUUGUGACAAUGAGUGGAGCCAAGCAGAGAGGACAAGCCAACAUGUUGAAGGCAGAGAAGACAGAUGGGAAAGAUCCAGGAUUGUUGAUAAAUUAACCUACCUUGAGCACCACACAUCUGGCCUUUUGUUAUAUAACAGAGUAAGUGUCCUUGUUGUAAAGUUUUAUGUGUUUUGCAGCCCAAUCUCCCUUUAUGUUAUACCUUUAUGGCAACUCACAUUAAUAAAAAUGAACGUGUGAUUCAUUCAGUUGGAACUUUUU
rnacentral:lncRNA from 1 species